GCAUCUCAGGACAAGCUGGCGAUGGCAUCUGUUGGUGUAUUGAUUAUCAGGGUUUGUUCAAAAGCUCUGGCCAGUUGAAUGGGUGUCUCCUUUCUCCUCACCUAUACACAUGUGUUCCCCUAAGGCUACAUUCCAGCCGAAGACACAGGAGGUCCAAAAUUAAAGCAUCACCAUUCUUUAAUGCCAAGACAUUAUAAGAAAAUUUUCUUGUUUUCAUAACUGCUGGAAUAACCAAACAG
rnacentral:sRNA from 1 species